AAGGAUCAUUACAGAUUAGAGAAGCUUAACUGCUUUUUCUUACACAUGUGUUUUUUCUUUUUGAAAAAUUACUUUGGUAGUGAAGCUAAACACUUUGCUGCCAGAGACUAAACUUAACCAAACUUUUUAUUAAUAGUCAACAAGAAAUCUAAUAGUUAAAACUUUCAACAACGGAUCUCUUGGUUCUCGCAUCGAUGAAGAACGCAGCGAAAUGCGAUAAGUAAUAUGAAUUGCAGAUAUUCGUGAAUCAUCGAAUCUUUGAACGCACAUUGCGCCUUUUGGUAUUCCAGAAGGCAUGCCUGUUUGAGCGUCAUUUCUCCUUCAAACCCUUGGGUUUGGUGUUGAGCAAGACCUCGAGUUUGCUUGAAAGAUAAUUAGUUUUUACAAAGGAUAGGUGUAACCAAAUCUUUGAUACAAAGACUAUUUGAAUUUCCAAAUUCGACCUCAAAUCAGGUAGGACUACCCGCUGAACUUAA
rnacentral:rRNA from 1 species